CAGUCGAACGAAGCACUUUAUUACGAUUUCUUCGGAAUGACGAUUUAGUGACUGCAGUGGCGGACGGGUGAGUAACGCGUGGGUAACCUGCCUUAUACAGGGGGAUAACAGUUAGAAAUGACUGCUAAUACCGCAUAAGCGCACAGGAUUGCAUGAUCUGGUGUGAAAAACUCCGGUGGUAUAAGAUGGACCCGCGUCUGAUUAGCUGGUUGGUGAGGUAACGGCCCACCAAGGCGACGAUCAGUAGCCGACCUGAGAGGGUGACCGGCCACAUUGGGACUGAGACACGGCCCAAACUCCUACGGGAGGCAGCAGUGGGGAAUAUUGCACAAUGGGGGAAACCCUGAUGCAGCGACGCCGCGUGAGCGAAGAAGUAUUUCGGUAUGUAAAGCUCUAUCAGCAGGGAAGAAAAAAAUGACGGUACCUGACUAAGAAGCCCCGGCUAACUACGUGCCAGCAGCCGCGGUAAUACGUAGGGGGCAAGCGUUAUCCGGAUUUACUGGGUGUAAAGGGAGCGCAGGCGGUGCGGCAAGUCUGAUGUGAAAGCCCGGGGCUCAACCCCGGGACUGCAUUGGAAACUGUCGUACUUGAGUAUCGGAGAGGUAAGUGGAAUUCCUAGUGUAGCGGUGAAAUGCGUAGAUAUUAGGAGGAACACCAGUGGCGAAGGCGGUUUACUGGACGAUAACUGACGCUG
rnacentral:rRNA from 1 species